CUGUAGCCUAAUGGAUAAAGCGUCUGUCUCCUAUAAAUUUAAAUUAAUGGAGUGAACAGAAGAUUGUGGGUUCGAAUCCCACCC
rnacentral:tRNA from 11 species